rnacentral:rRNA from 1 species
AGCUCCAAUAGCGUAUAUUAAAGUUGUUGUGGUUAAAAAGCUCGUAGUUGGAUUUCGGAGUGAGCUAGUUGGUCCGCCGCAAGGUGUGUUACUGACUAGUUUGCUCUUCUUCGCAAAGACUGCGUGUGCUCUUGAGUGAGUGUGCGUAGGAUUUACGACGUUUACUUUGAAAAAAUUAGAGUGUUCAAAGCAGGCUAUUGCUUGAAUACAUGAGCAUGGAAUAAUGGAAUAGGACUUUGGUCCCAUUUUGUUGGUUGCUAGGACCGAAGUAAUGAUUAAGAGGGACAAUUGGGGGCAUCCGUAUUUCGUUGUCAGAGGUGAAAUUCUUGGAUUUACGAAAGACGAACAACUGCGAAAGCACUUGCCAAGAGUGUUU